UACGUAGGGGGCAAGCGUUGUCCGGAAUCAUUGGGCGUAAAGAGCGUGUAGGCGGCCCGGUAAGUCCGCUGUGAAAGUCCAGGGCUCAACCCUGGGAUGCCGGUGGAUACUGUCGGGCUCGAGUCCGGAAGAGGAGUGUGGAAUUCCUGGUGUAGCGGUGAAAUGCGUAGAUAUCGGGAGGAACACCAGUGGCGAAGGCGGGCUGCCUGGGCCAGUUCUGACGCUGAGGCGCGAAAGCGUGGGGAGCAAACAGG
rnacentral:rRNA from 1 species